CCUACGGGUGGCAGCAGUGAGGAAUAUUGGUCAAUGGGCGCGAGCCUGAACCAGCCAAGUCGCGUGAAGGAAGACGGUCCUAUGGGUUGUAAACCUCUUUUGUAGAGGAAUAAAGUGCGGCACGCGUGCCUUUCCGUGUGUACCCUAUGAAUAAGGAUCGGCUAACUCCGUGCCAGCAGCCGCGGUAAUACGGAGGAUCCGAGCGUUAUCCGGAUUUAUUGGGUUUAAAGGGUGCGCAGGUGGGUAAUUAAGUCAGCGGUGAAAGUUUGUGGCUCAACCAUAACAUUGCCGUUGAAACUGGUUGACUUGAGUGUAUUAGAGGUAGGCGGAAUGCGUGGUGUAGCGGUGAAAUGCAUAGAUAUCACGCAGAACUCCGAUUGCGAAGGCAGCAUACUAGAGUAUAACUGACACUGAUGCACGAAAGCGUGGGGAUCGAACAGGAUUAGAUACCCUGGUAGUC
rnacentral:rRNA from 1 species